GACGAACGCUGGCGGCGUGCUUAACACAUGCAAGUCGAGCGGUAAGGCCCUUUCGGGGGUACACGAGCGGCGAACGGGUGAGUAACACGUGGGUGACCUGCCCUCAGCUCUGGGAUAAGCCUGGGAAACCGGGUCUAAUACCGGAUAUGACUCCAUGACGCAUGUUGUGGGGUGGAAAGCCUUGUGCGGCUGAGGAUGGGCCCGCGGCCUAUCAGCUUGUUGGUGGGGUGANGGCCUACCAAGGCGACGACGGGUAGCCGGCCUGAGAGGGCGACCGGCCACACUGGGACUGAGACACGGCCCAGACUCCUACGGGAGGCAGCAGUGGGGAAUCCUGCGCAAUGGGCGAAAGCCUGACGCAGCGACGCCGCGUGAGGGUAAAAAAGCGGCCGUC
rnacentral:rRNA from 1 species